UAAGCGUGUGAUGAAAUCGUGAGGCUCAACCUCACGGCUAUUAUGCGAACUGUAGAGCUAGAGCAUAUGAGGGUACCUGGAAUUCCUAGUGUAGGAGUGAAAUCCGUAGAUAUUAGGAGGAACACCAAUGGCGUAGGCAGGGUACUGGCAUAUUGCUGACACUGAGGCACGAAAGCGUGGGGAGCGAAACGGGAUUUAGAUACCCCCGGUAGUCCACGCCGUAAACGAUGGAUGCUA
rnacentral:rRNA from 1 species